UAUAUAAUAAAAACGGAGAGAUGUGAACGCGGCGCGGUUUCGUUCGCUAGUUAUCCCGCGAGUACGGUAAUAUAUACAUGUAUUUUGAAGUCUUUUUUGGAUUUUCAACGUUUGCACACUUCAAUCGGAGACCCUCGAGCAGUCGGCUGAAUAACAAAAUUUCUGAGCACAUAUCGGCGUCUGUAACACCCCUCCAUGUUUGUCUGGAGGAACAGGGAGGACCAGAACUGGGCUCGUGUGACGCCUCGGCUCGCAAGUCACAGGUCAAGGGUAAUCAAGAAUAUUGGGAGGACAAGACAAAUUCAGUGGCAUCACGAACAACCGAGGCAGGAUCUACUACAAGUGGGUCCGGGGAGCUAAGACACAGCCAGCCAAGCAUGGCAAAUACCAUAAGCAACAUGAAAAUGACUAACCCCAUAAAGGGGCUUGUCAGUAAAAGGCGCAAACGCUUCACGGAAGAUGGCUUCAAUCUUGAUCUGUCAUAUAUACGGGAUAACUUGAUUGCCAUGGGUUUCCCGGCGGAAAAAUUGGAGGGCGUUUACAGGAAUCACAUAGACGAUGUCGUCAAAUUUUUAGAGUCCAAACACAAGGAUCAUUAUAAAAUUUAUAAUCUCUGUGCCGAGCGAACAUACGACUUCAAGAAAUUCAAGCAACGAGUUGCUAUCUAUCCGUUCGACGAUCACAAUCCACCGAAACUCGAAAUGUUGAGACCAUUUUGCGACGAUGUUCACGAGUGGUUGUCUCAGGACAGAAAAAACGUCGCAGUUGUACAUUGCAAGGCGGGUAAAGGAAGAACUGGUGUUAUGGUAUGCUGUUAUCUGUUACACAUUAAGCAAUUUCCAACAGCAACGGAGGCACUGAAUUUUUAUGGGACUAAGAGAACGCAUGAUAGGAAAGGGGUGACUAUACCUUCGCAGAGGAGGUACGUUGGUUAUUACGCGACUCUCGUUCAAGAGGGUCUUAACUACCAACCGGUUACUCUGGUCCUUCGACAAAUACAACUCGAUCCAGUUCCCAAUUUUAAUGGAGGUCAAGGCUGCUUUCAUUUUGUGAUAUCGGAAUCUAACAAGAAGGUAUUUAGUUCGAAAAUUUACGAUGUGAGAAAAGGAAUGUCAUCAAUGUGCAUUCCCCUGGAUCAAACUGUAGCUCUUACCGGUGAUAUCCGUGUAGAUUUUUUUAACCGGCCAAAGGUGAAGAGAAAAGAAAAAAUGUUUCACUUUUGGUUCAACACGUUCUUCGUGCGAGAACAUUUAACGCCCGAAUACGAGAAUGGUGAAAUACCGAUCGAAAGAUCGACGAGAGCAUUGAGCUGUGACGGUACGGCUAUGGAAUUGCCAAUGGUAACGUCGCAUGCGAAACCAAGAGCCGGCUCGUUAGCGAGCCUUGGGCCGAUGCCACCGGCUCUCGUUUUAAGCAUAGAUAAAUGGGGUUUGGAUGGUGCGCACAAGGACAAACAUCACAAGGACUACAGUGCGGAUUUUAAGGUUAGUUUGUUAAUGCAUCGAAUGGGUGGUGGAAUGACGCAGGCAGUGCCCGCGAGCGUACCGAGGUCAGGCGGUGUACAGAUAGGGAUGAGCGGGCAAGAAACGCCAAGCGAGUCCAGCGAAGCUGACAGUAGUGAGUGCGACACGACGGGUGACGAGGACGGUUGGGAAUCAGUGGACUUGGAUCAGCGUGUGGGCCGGUACCGCCUUCUCUCCGAUGGAGGGAUGAUAGAUGUUUUGUGAGAGACCCUCGUCGUCCAUCAUCUUCAUUCACCCUUGAGCCUCCGAUCGUAUCACUGAGAUUAACUGAGUCUUAAAGCUCUUACGAUCGUGCAUUGUCGCGUCGUUUCAUGUCUAUGUGAGCAAAGAAACAAAAACGAUCCCUUCGGAGCAUUAUUGUCCGAAUAAUUCGCUAACACCAUCGACGAUCAUCGAACUAUUUCCUGCCCAUUUUAUCGUGUCUUUGAAUCUCGAUUAUCAUCAUCAUCGUCAUUAUUCAGGGACUAAAAUCUUGUGGCUGAUUAUCGCGUUGCUAUAAUUCGAGACAUAGAAAAGAGAAUUUUUCAAUGAAUCAUCUGCAAAUUAUUAACAUUUUUCUUAAAAACACCAACGAUUAGAUGUGAACGUUCAUUUCGAUAUUUCGAGUUUCUGUGAUAGAAAAUUCGCUCUGUUUACAUUGAUGAGUUGAUGCUGAAUUUUGUAAAACUGCCUCCCACAUCGGGGAUUAACACAAGAAACGAUAAUAUUUUAGAAACUUUGUCUCGAGUGAAGAAGACGUUAAGUCGAUAUGAAAAUACUUUUUAUAAAAUUGCCCAUCAUUUUCUUCCCCGCUCGUUUUCAUCUAUCGAUGGAGUUUCGUUAGACGAUGAUCAAAGAUAAUGGUGACAAGCAAUAAAUUGAGAACCUCCGCAAUCUAUUUGUACUAACGAAUUCUUCAUUAACAAUUGCUCAGCGUGCACAUAUUUUAUGAUUUUUUUGCGUUAAAUGCGCGGUUUAUAUCCGGCCUUCGGUCAUUUUCAACUUCUUCAUUAUCAUUAUUUCAUACAUGUGGAGAAUAAUAUAGUAUUCGUCAGAAUGCAUAAGUUUGUAGAGCAAAUAAAAAAAAGUUUCUGCGCAGAGCUUUAAGGAUCGUAGGCACUUAGUGUCACCGCAUAUUUUGUCUCGAUGGGCUUUGGCAGAUUCCUCGUUUACAUUUAAAUUCAUUUCAAUACAACUUGUCAUUGAACAAAAUCUUUUUAUCAUUUUCAAUCAGUUUAUUUUGAAGGGAGACGAUUUAUAUCGUCACUUCCGCCCCGAUGAGGUGAUAAAUAUUGACAGAAUCUUUCGAUGAAAGUAAAAAAACAUGAAAUGUUUAAAAACACUAAAUCCUUCAAGUUCCAAUCUUCAUUUCUCUUAAGCACAACACCUUAAACCGCUCUCGACACGAAUAACCUGUUUUUCCAAUAGCAUUUUUGGGUUAUCGACGAAACCAAUUCAGACAUUCCCAUUUCCCAUGCGAUGCAGUUGGGCGAUCUGAGGCAAACGACGAGAUACGAAGAUGAGCGCAGAUUAGAAAUAGGAAAGGAGUGUCGGGAAGCGGCGAAUGAACGAGUCACGUAAUUGUAACGUAAGAAUGAAAGAAAAAACGAAAAAGGAGAAUCGUUGGAAGAACGAGGGAUGGAGAGGAUUUGUGAGGAGGCAAAAUGACGAUGAAGAAAAAUUAACGAUAUAUAAAAGCAAGACUAUUUUCAUAAGUGAUAAUUUAUAAGUCAAUAAUAUGCGUAACGAAAGAGAGAAUGAGAGUGCGAGGGAAUGUGAGCGUAAUUUGACAAUUAAACGUAAAAAAAUUGACAAAAAACAGAAAAGAAAAAUAACUAACCAUGAUUAUUUCUCGCGAUGGUUUUUCGACGCCCUGACCGUGGUCCAUGAUCACAUCUUAAUCGGUAUCACCUCAAAAGGCAAAUUCAAGCGACAGAAAAUAUACUGAGAAAUUUUGUAGUAUCGUCCAAUUGAUUGUUCAUAAGAUUUACGAAUAUAAAAAGCAAUCCGUGUCUGUGAAAAUGGCGUGUGUGUGUGUGUGUGUGUGCGUGCGAUGUGUGUCUGCGUAUGUGCGUAGGUCCGUUUUGUGAAUGAAAUUGAGACUCGACGUCGAGAGAAAAAGAGAUUUAUUGAAUUUGAAAACCUCAUCCGAAGGCGAACACGAAUUUUCGUUAUUGCCCAUCAACACUGUUUGAAUAAUUAUCUAACUCGAUUAACGACCAAUUAUCAUGCACGUGUCUGUGUAACGCAUAUGUAUGUAUAUAUAUAACUCAUAAUUUAUCUAUAUUUACAUAUGUGUUAGAAUUUACAAUAAGUAUUCGAACAGUACAAAGGCUUAACAUGAAUCAUUUGUUGUUCUGAGCAAGAAUAAUGGGUGAAACAGAACAUGAAAUAUUCUUUUAAGGAAGGAACAAAAGAUUACCACGCUCAAAAUUACACCCUCAGCGCUGAUGGACAUGCUCGUUGCUUGAAAAGUUGUUUAUCGCUCACGAUUUGCACUAGUUAUUUAUGCGUUUCUGAUUUUCUCACUCGUUUGUUUUGUGAUAAAAUGAAUAGAAGUUUUCAAUAAUUUCAUAAUAUUUCAAAAAUUUUUAAGAAAAAAAUCUUUAAUUAUGAUUAUCCGGGUAGACUCGAAAUAUACGUGGAAAAUAAGGAGAAACGUUGGGCUGUAAUUUUGAGCAUGUGUUAAUCUUCGCACUUGCCACUUACCGGUGCUAGCAUAAAUAUAUAUUUUUUUUUGCAAUAGAGCGGUCCUAUUGAGAAAAAAAAUAAGAUGAAACAAUAUGAGAAUGAGCCUUCUCACAUUCAACGAGUAUCAGUUAUACGAACGUUAAUACACCAUGAAGGAGCGUCGUACACACGCGUAUCUCUACACUCACUAAAAAUAAGGAAGGAACGAAGAAAGAAGAGAGAAAAGGAAAUGAAUACGUUAUGAAGGAACUCUUCCUUUGUGGCGAGGGGAUUUGGACCUCUUGUAGAAAUAAUGACAUUAGUUCUCGAGGAAUGAAUGUGAAAAUGCGAUUCGUGCGACGAUGUACUUUCGUGAUGUAUCAAAUUGGAAGCCAACCCUUGUGAUUAUUUCAUAUGCAAAAUUGAGAAAAUCCAAUCAAAAGUUGAAUCAAAAUAAAGGAAAUAAAAGUAGCAAGAGCCAAGCAUUUGCGGAGCAACAUUGAUCGUGUGAUUUAUCUUCUUUUUCAAAAAUUUCUCAUUUUUUUCACUAUAUUUUUAUGACGUGCGACAUCAUUUAUCACAAGGACGUCAGGAGGGUGUACAGUUGACAACUAAUGUCGUGACAAUAGUAAUAUUGAAGGUUAAAAAAAAAGAGCGAUCGAGCGAGCGAGAGAUCAAGAUUAUUUAUCUGUAUCCCGCUUGUAAGAUUAUCAUAAAAUAAUAAUCAGCGAAAUUUCAACGAGUCUCCAAAUAGAUGAUUGGAGAAACAGAAGAUAUUAAAUACGGGGAUAAUAGAUUUCAGUUUUUCCUUCACUUCUCAUCACAGGACGAACAACUAUUCUACAAUUUAUUGAAUAAAUUAUCGAAUUUGAAUUGAUUGUACAUAGGAAUUUUUGAACUGUAUUAGAGCCACAUUAAUCGCGAUGAGAAACCAACAUUUCCCAGUCGAUCGAACGGGACACGAUUCGCUUUCUGUAACUCUUUGUUCAUGGUACAUUUAUAAAUAUAUAUACAUAUAUAUGUAUAUAUACAUAUACAUGUAUAAUAUAAAAAAACACGAAACAAAAAUAAUAUGACACGAAGGAAAGUUAGAAAAUAAAAGGAAAAUCGAAGGUUAAUUUAAAUAUACGUUUAUUUCGAGCGAAUUUCAUACUUUCACCUUUUGUCUUUCAUGCACUCCUGGAAUCGGCCAAUAAUAUUUCCAUACGGUACUUUUGUGGGAAUCCACGUAUUUGUGACUUUGAGACAUGACUGAUGGCGGGCCAAUCAGAGCUAAACUCCUCACAGACGAUCAACUCCCGACUGCAACACAACGCUUGAUUACCAAUUGAUCAAUCGCAAAUACAUCAAUCAUCGCAUCUCCCGCCUGCCAUCCGCUAAGCAUGAUAUAAUCGAUUCGAUAGGACAACGCAUUCGGAUAUUCGGAUCGUCAUGAUAAAUGGUGUUAUUUUAGUGGGAUUCGAGAGACGUGCUUGAAUCGGGGAGAAACUUGAUUUAAAUUUCGUUUUAAACUAUGAAUCAAUCUAGUUUUUUUUGAUAUAAUCAAUAAAAAAUUCCAAAGAUUCGUGAUUUCGAAAGAAUAGAAUUAUUGAAAAACACUCUCGGUGAUGUGUAGCAGAUUUAAAAAAUGUUCAAAUCAGUAUAUUCAUUCGCUUUACUUUUCUGUGAUUUCUCAUUUUCAAACACGUCCCUCGGGACUCUAAUUCAUUAAAUCUUAGUUUAAUUUCCGGCGAUGAAGGAUCCGGGCGUAGAUGAAGGAUCUGAGAUGAGUUUAUCAGGACAAAACUAUCAACUUGCACAACAAUGUUAAAACUUGAUGAGAUUUAAUCUAUAAGUAGUGUUUUUGUGUGCUGAAACGUGACGAUUAAGAAUAUCAUGUUGAAGGCCACUGUGAUUAAAAACGUCUUGACGUUAGUUAAUUAGGGACAUUCUUUAUUUAUUUAUUUAGCAAGAUGAGGGUUAAUCGGAACAGUAAUGAGCCCGUAUUUCUCGAUGUUUAUUAUUAUUGUUUACUAGACUUCUUGAUAAACUGCGAUUAUGAGCGAGCAAUUGACCUUUUUUUACGAUUCAACAUCUCCCCGGCACAUUCGAUUGAAUUUGUUUUUUGUUUGUUCGUUUGCGAAUAUGUAACCGUUGCAAGCAGAUUGGCGGAUGGAAAACAAUGCUAACGUUACGAAUCACGAUUACGAUUCGCCAGCCUUUUCAUCGAUCGACUAAAUUUUGUUUUGGCCUCUGGUCUUGGCCCCCGAGUACUAAAACUGUGAAUAGAAAUUUUUAAAACUCUUGACCCCAACCUGUCGUCAUUUUUGUACAUUUUCUGUUACUCUUUUCUCUCUUCGAUCCUGAUGCGGUGAAACCGCUUUGUUACAAUAAUCAUCGAGCGAAAGUAGUCCCGGUACCGAAGCAGAUUCAACCAAUGAGAAAAGUUUAAAUGCCUUUCGAGGAAAUAUAUCGAUAUGACGUACGACGUAUUUUUAAAAGAAUCAUUUCGCAUUCAACCUAUAGAGUACAAAGAUGUUGACUUGAUCUCAAAUAGGAUAAAAAGAUAAAGAUGAAAAAGAAAAAACGGUUUAGUAAGUUGAGUCUCCGCGAAAAGAAUUUAGCAUAAAUUCAUUAGCUUGAAAUGACUUUUUUCACGUCUUGCAACAGAAACAACGAAUGAGAUCAACCAUGAAAAGUGCACAAUUGAGCUGCGUGGAUUUGUUCACACUGUAAGCGUGACCAAUUUUACUUUAACUCUAUUUGGCAUUGUAAAGCGCAAAUUGACGUACGCAAAAGAAAAAAGAAGAAAACACGACACGUUGCUAGAUUCGAAAGUACUAUGUUUUCUUAGUACGGCUCCUUUUUCCACAUCACGAUCUAAUUGAUUGAAGUUUUAAUUUAUUUAUUACAGUUAAAUAUAGAUGCAAGUUUUAAAAUAUAUCUAAUCGUUUUUACAAUCGGAAGGUACGAGCAAUAAACAGUGUAAAACGAGUAAAAAUACGCAUAAAAAAAGUUUAUUAAAUUUACAGCCUACAAUUCAUCGGGGUUUAUAUUUGUUUGAUAACGUUUCGGCGUGGCAAUGUCAAAUAGUAUACAAAAAUGUUUUUUUUUUUUUUUUAAAUCUUUAUUAACAGCAACUUGCGCUUUGCUGCCUUGAUAGAAGGUCAGGCUUGAUGAGAGCAACGAAAGCAAUCGAUGUCUAGCACCAUUGCGUCGAAAUGUUAUUUUCACUUAUUUCUUAGAUUCUUCAAAUCGAAUUGCUGCUUAAACCGAAAAGAUUAUUCAACUUUUUCUCAAUAUCAAUAGCGAACAAGCCUAAUCCAAAUGGAUCGACUCGUUUCACAGAAUCGAUGAUCUUUGAUUACCCUUAGGGGAGUGUAGGACGAUGAGAGUGCGAUAAAAUCGUUGCUUGUACGGUGAGAACCGUUGUUUAUUGGCUAUGUGAUCUUAACUUUAUAAUUUAACGUAGAAUUUAGUAGGCUCGAUAGAUAGGGACAGCAAUCAUAAAUUUAUACUCCUCUUGUAACUCUCAUAGCGUUUUUUCUUCUCUUCUUUUUCUUUUGUGUCGAACUAUUUUAUAUCCGGGAUACAGUAUUGUCAUGAAAACAUUUGAAAUUGUGAUCGAGGAGGAUACGACGAAAGUUUUUGUACGUGCGUGAGUUUGCGACAAUGAAAAGAAAAAGGAGGAAAAAUUGAUUGUAAUUUGUUUUCGUUGACGACGAUGAGAGAGUCGUCGAUAAAAUGUUUGAGUCAAUUACAAGUGUGCGUGCUUCGACGAUCGUCGAGACACGAAUUGAGAGGAAAUUGCGAUGAAAAAUCAUCUGGAAUUAUUGUAAAUCAAUGGAAAAAAUUCUACGUCAAAGUU
rnacentral:misc_RNA from 1 species